UAUCCAGUAAUGGGGUUUUCUGGGUGUUAAACCAAUGAAUGUCUUGUAAUCCUGGGUAAUUGUAUUUCACCCUCAUGUCUUUUUCCAGGCCUACAUUAGGCGGCUAUUACAUUGUCAUCAAUAUCAUCAAUUCUUUGUUUUUCACUUCAUCAUUUUAGUCAUUUAAGCAGCUAUCAACCAUGCUGUGAUGGUCAUGUCAGGUUAUCAACCAUGCUGUGAUGGUCAUGUCAGGUUAUCUACCAUGCUGUGAUGGUCAUGUCAGGUUAUCUACCAUGCUGUGAUGGUCAUGUCAGGUUAUCAACCAUGCUGUGAUGGUCAUGUCAGGCUAUCUACCAUGCUGUGAUGGUCAUGUCAGGCUAUCUACCAUGCUGUGAUGGUCAUGUCAGGUUAUCUACCAUGCUGUGAUGGUCAUGUCAGGUUAUCUACCAUGCUGUGAUGGUCAUGUCAGGUUAUCUACCAUGCCGUGAUGGUCAUGUCAGGCUAUCUACCAUGCCGUGAUGGUCAUGUCAGGCUAUCUACCAUGCCGUGAUGGUCAUGUCAGGCUAUCUACCAUGCCGUGAUGGUCAUGUCAGGCUAUCUACCAUGCCGUGAUGGUCAUGUCAGGCUAUCUACCAUGCCGUGAUGGUCAUGUCAGGCUAUCUACCAUGCCGUGAUGGUCAUGUCAGGCUAUCUACCAUGCCGUGAUGGUCAUGUCAGGCUAAGAUCUUUUUAUUGUUA